UGCAGUCGAGCGGUAACAUUUCUAGCUUGGUAGAAGAUGACGAGCGGGGGACGGGUGAGUAAUGCUUGGGAACAUGCCUUGAGGUGGGGGACAACAGUUGGAAACGACUGCUAAUACCGCAUAAUGUCUACGGACCAAAGGGGGGUUCGGCUCUCGCCUUUAGAUUGGCCCAAGUGGGAUUAGCUAGUUGGUGAGGUAAUGGCUCACCAAGGCGACGAUCCCUAUCUGGUUUGAGAGGAUGAUCACCCACACUGGAACUGAGACACGGUCCACACUCCUACGGGAGGCAGCAGUGGGGAAUAUUGCACAAUGGGCGCAAGCCUGAUGCACCCAUGCCGCGUGUGUGAAAAAAGCCUUCUGGUUGUAAAGCACUUUCUCUCACGAGGAAAGGUUAUAGGUUAAUACCCGCUAGCUGUGACGUUACUGACAGAAAAAACACCGGCUAACUCCGUGCCACCAGCCGCGGUAAUACGGAGGGUGCGAGCGUUAAUCUGAAUUACUGGGCGUAAAGCGUACACACGCGGUUUGUUAAGCGAGAUGUGAAAGCCCCGGGCUCAACCUGGGAACUGCAUUUCUAACUGGCAAACUAUAGUGUGAUAUAGGGUGGUAGAAUUUCACGUGUAGCGGUGAAAUGCGUAUAGAUCUGAAAGAAUACCGAUGGCGAAAGCAGCCACCUGGGUCAACACUGACACUCAUGUACGAAAGCGUGUGGAGCAAACACGAUUAGAUACCCUGGUAGUCCACGCCGUAAACGAUGUCUACUAUAAGCUCGCAACCUCUAGAGUGUGAUAGAGGGUGGUAGAAUUUCAGGUGUAGCGGUGAAAUGCGUAGAGAUCUGAAGGAAUACCCGAUGGCGAAGGCAGCCACCUGGGUCAACACUGACGCUCAUGUACGAAAGCGUGGGGAGCAAACAGGAUUAGAUACCCUGGUAGUCCACGCCGUAAACGAUGUCUACUAGAAGCUCGGAUCCUCGGUUUUGUUUUUCAAAGCUAACGCAUUAAGUAGACCGCCUGGGGAGUACGGCCGCAAGGUUAAAACUCAAAUGAAUUGACGGGGGCCCGCACAAGCGGUGGAGCAUGUGGUUUAAUUCGAUGCAACGCGAAGAACCUUACCUACACUUGACAUACAGAGAACUUACCAGAGAUGGUUUGGUGCCUUCGGGAACUCUGAUACAGGUGCUGCAUGGCUGUCGUCAGCUCGUGUUGUGAGAUGUUGGGUUAAGUCCCGCAACGAGCGCAACCCCUAUCCUUAGUUGCUAGCAGGUAAUGCUGAGAACUCUAAGGAGACUGCCGGUGAUAAACCGGAGGAAGGUGGGGACGACGUCAAGUCAUCAUGGCCCUUACGUGUAGGGCUACACACGUGCUACAAUGGCGCAUACAGAGUGCUGCGAACUCGCGAGAGUAAGCGAAUCACUUAAAGUGCGUCGUAGUCCGGAUUGGAGUCUGCAACUCGACUC
rnacentral:rRNA from 1 species